UGAUCAAGUCCAGGAAAGGACA
rnacentral:siRNA from 1 species